UAACGACUGUUAUAAUAAGAAUUACUUUAGCAAGUCACGGAACGCAAAGUAAUGUUAGUUUGUCUCUCUGCAGCUCAGCAGAGAUCGGGAACCUACCUGCGUUCCAGACCCCAUAGUAUUCACCACCUGCCAAGCCGAAGCGAAGGCACACCACGACACGGUCGACACCAUGCAUGCUCUUUCGGUGUAAAAUAGACCGAUCCCCUUAUUAUACUGGGUUCGAGCACGGGGGCAACCUCACUCGCGAUCGAGCUAGUUUUUGAACGUGACAGCAUCUUUGACAGUGUGUUUCAGGUUUGUUUUGGAAUGUCUUCUGCUUAGUUCAAGUAGUUUGCGAUGGCUUCGAGCGGUGCUAAACCUCCUGCUGGUAGGAGCAGAGUCUCCGAGAGAGACAUGGACUGUGAUGCCGCUGCAGGAUUUUUUCAAGGCGCGGGAGGGAACGAUCUCGGGCCACAAACAGGAGUUACUCCAGAGAGCCAUCUUCUAUGAAGGUAACCGUGGUGCUGCCAAGUCACCAAGUCGCGAUCAGCAGCCCUGAAGUGGAAAAUCGAUUUUCCAACGAUCUGGUUGGACAUCAGCCACUAAAGUACUUCUGAUUUGCCUGUAAUGACAACAGCAGCCAUCCUUGGACACCUUGCAAAGACAGGAAAAGCCACUGGUGGAAGCGACUGCUAUGAGGUGACGAUAGCAGUGCAGUGGUGAUCGCUGUUUUGUCAAGUCGAAGGGCUAGCCAACCCAGAGGAAGCAUAAAAAAACGAUGAGCAGUGCGUGUUAUUUGUUGAGCGUGAAGAGCUAGAGGAGGACAGUGCAAAAACAUGGACGGAGUGGAUGGUGUUUGAAGAACAGUGUGCUGUGUGCCGGCUGGUGGUGAUGGUGGUCUUUGUCAGCAUGUAUUCGUGCUGCUCCUUGUGCUGGAACACUUCUCGCCCAGGAAGGUAGAUUGCGUGCUCCCUGGCCCUCAGUUGGCUAUGGGGCAUUUGUUCCAGGAACAUUACCCCAGAGCCAAUGAUGAGUCGUACCUUUGAAAAGUCGAAGCUUGCUGUUAAUCGCAAGCGCAGCGCAGUGGAUUGCUCCCUCUUCGAAGCACGAGGGCCAAAGCUUGCCGCUGUCUGCAGCAAAGUGUGUGUGCGGUUCUUUCGAACCUAUGAAUAUACCCCCUGCACGUUCAGAGUGAACUAUUUUCUAGUAUAUUUAACAUCCUCAACCCGCCACCGCCAUGCGCUCUUGGCCGAACUAAUGCACGAAGCAUAAACACACCAGCACAGCAAGGACACUUCCGUUGACAGAUAUUGUUUACGCCUCUAGACCGCUGUUUCUUUUCUUCGAGCUCAUCGUUAGAGGAGGAUAGUAGCAGGAUACUAAUGAUGAUAUAAUAGAAGAUGAUAGACGGUUUAUGGUCCGAUAUUGAUGAUUGAAGAUCUAAGAAAGCAAUGACAGUGAUUGCGAAAUGGAUAAUAUUAUCAUGAUUAUAUGCCAGUCUGGUAAUGCGUUGUACUAGUGGACAGUAUUGAAAUCAUCACUGCAUUUGAUGCAAAUAUUGGUAUACCUUUGGUUUCAGUAUUGGAAAAAAAGAGUAAGAGAA